GCAGCAAAGACUGUUGGCAAAAGCGUGGAGCGACAGGACGGGGGGGAAUGGGCUCAGAAUCCAACAAAGACGAGGCUAAAAGAGAAGAGAUCUACACUGAGGUGCAACCUGCCCUUGACAUCCAGUAAAAUCCAGUGAGCAUUCCUUCUGCUAGAGCGUCCCAGGAAAUCAAGCUGUCCCACAAAAGGCAGGGAGUGUGCCCUGAGGAAGGAUGAAGGAACAUCAUGGUACACAGGAUCUGCACCACGUCCUCCACAAGCAGCUGCCACCACGAGAAAGAAGAAUCCAGGUCCUAAAAAGGGACAGGACAGUGAAGGGCAGGACAGGGAAGGGCACACGGUGGCCUCUGUGUGUCCCUACACACAGGCAAGGCCACCCCGCAGCAGGAGCCAUCUGCUCCACCUCUGCCACCUCAGCACCUUCUGAGAUCAAUAAAAUCCUCUCAGGUUUUUUAAUCAAGCCAAUAAAAC